AGUGAACGCUGGCGGUAGGCCUAACACAUGCAAGUCGAACGGGAGCACAGUAAGAGCUUGCUCUUACGGGUGGCGAGUGGCGGACGGGUGAGGAAUACAUCGGAAUCUACUUUUUCGUGGGGGAUAACGUAGGGAAACUUACGCUAAUACCGCAUACGACCUACGGGUGAAAGCAGGGGAUCUUCGGACCUUGCGCGAUUGAAUGAGCCGAUGUCGGAUUAGCUAGUUGGCGGGGUAAAGGCCCACCAAGGCGACGAUCCGUAGCUGGUCUGAGAGGAUGAUCAGCCACACUGGAACUGAGACACGGUCCAGACUCCUACGGGAGGCAGCAGUGUGGAAUAUUGGACAAUGGGCGCAAGCCUGAUCCAGCCAUACUGCGUGGGUGAAGAAGGCCUUCGGGUUGUAAAGCCCUUUUGUUGGGAAAGAAAAGCAGCAGGUUAAUACCCCGCUGUUCUGACGGUACCCAAAGAAUAAGCACCGGCUAACUUCGUG
rnacentral:rRNA from 1 species